GCUCAGCCGUAAACCAAGGUAGUAUAAACACAACACUACCCGCCAGAGAACUACAAGUGAAAAACUUAAAACUCCAAGGACUUGGCGGUGCUCCACACCAACCUAGAGGAGCCUGUCCUAUAAUCGAUAAUCCACGUUAUACCCUACCACCUUUUGCCCCCAGCCUAUAUACCGCCGUCGAAAGCCUACCUUCUGAAAGAAGCACAGUAGGCAAAACAGUUACUAACUAACACGUCAGGUCAAGGUGUAGCACAUGAGGUGGAAGAGAUGGGCUACAUUUUCUGCCACAGAAAACACGAACAGCCUAAUGAAACUUAGGCCAAAAGGCGGAUUUAGCAGUAAGACAAACAAGAAGCCCUGUCUUAAACCCGCUCUGGAGCGCGC
rnacentral:rRNA from 1 species